GUGCUACACAAUACUAUAUGUAUUACAGGAUUGUGAAGUCAACUUCUCCCACUCUGAGUAAUUAAACCACAUGCUGCUCUUAGAUGAAGUUCCAAACAAGCUAAGCUGUGUAUGCAGCUAUCUGCUACAACUAGGAAUGUAUACAAUUCUGCAUAUGUGGCCUGCAGCAGGAGACAGGUUAAUUUUGAUUAUUUCAUUUUCAAGACCAAAGACACAUCCUUUCCUCUACCUGCUGAAGACACUAAUGUAAGCCACAGAUCCUUCAUGAUGGAUUUCACAACAAUUUCAAAGAGACAAAGGAACUAUGAGAAACUAAGAAAACAAAACACCGAUUUACCAGGACAAUAAUUCAAAAGAUUGGAACACUUUCCUCAUUUAAUUUUCUGCAGUCUUUUACUUGGAACUGUCUUAUAGCAGAGAUUAUCUGGUUUUGACUUAAAAGCAAGCUAACGAUCCAGGAUACAUCAAGUAUUCAAAUUCAAGAUUCUCUUA